AACUCGCUGUGAAGAUGCAGUGUACCCGCGGCAAGACGGAAAGACCCCGUGAACCUUUACUAUAGCUUGACACUGAACAUUGAGCCUUGAUGUGUAGGAUAGGUGGGAGGCUUUGAAGUGUGGACGCCAGUCUGCAUGGAGCCGGCCUUGAAAUACCACCCUUUAAUGUUUGAUGUUCUAACGUGGACCCGUAAUCCGGGUUGCGGACAGUGUCUGGUGGGUAGUUUGACUGGGGCGGUCUCCUCCUAAAGAGUAACGGAGGAGCACGAAGGUUGGCUAAUCCUGGUCGGACAUCAGGAGGUUAGUGCAAUGGCAUAAGCCAGCUUGACUGCGAGCGUGACGGCGCGAGCAGGUGCGAAAGCAGGUCAUAGUGAUCCGGUGGUUCUGAAUGGAAGGGCCAUCGCUCAACGGAUAAAAGGUACUCCGGGGAUAACAGGCUGAUACCGCCCAAGAGUUCAUAUCGACGGCGGUGUUUGGCACCUCGAUGUCGGCUCAUCACAUCCUGGGGCUGAAGUAGGUCCCAAGGGUAUGGCUGUUCGCCAUUUAAAGUGGUACGCGAGCUGGGUUUAGAACGUCGUGAGACAGUUCGGUCCCUAUCUGCCGUGGGCGCUGGAGAACUGAGGGGGGCUGCUCCUAGUACGAGAGGACCGGAGUGGACGCAUCACUGGUGUUCGGGUUGUCAUGCC
rnacentral:rRNA from 1 species